GAUGAACGCUAGCGGCAGGCUUAAUACAUGCAAGUCGUGGGGCAGCACAGUCCGCCGAAAGGCGGAUGGGUGGCGACCGGCAAACGGGUGCGGAACACGUACGCAACCUUCCUACAGGCGGGGAAUAGCCCAGAGAAAUUUGGAUUAAUACCCCAUAAAAUUUUAAGAUGGCAUCAUCUUAUUAUUAAAGCUUCGGCACCUGAAGAUGGGCGUGCGGCU
rnacentral:rRNA from 1 species